rnacentral:rRNA from 1 species
GAUGAACGCUGGCGGCGCGCCUAACACAUGCAAGUCGAACGAUUAAAGCACCUUCGGGUGUGUAUAAAGUGGCGAACGGCUGAGUAACACGUGGGCAACCUGCCCCUUUCAUUGGGAUAGCCACGGGAAACCGUGGAUAAUACCGAAUACUUCGAGACUUCCGCAUGGAAGACUCGAGAAAGCUCCGGCGGAGAGGGAUGGGCCCGCGGCCUGUUAGCUUGUUGGUGGGGUAACGGCCUACCAAGGCAAUGAUGGGUAGCUGGGUUGAGAGACCGACCAGCCAGAUUGGGACUGAGACACGGCCCAGACUCCUACGGGGGGCAGCAGUGGGGAAUCUUGCACAAUGGGCGAAAGCCUGAUGCAGCGACGCCGCGUGCGGGAUGAAGGCCUUCGGGUUGUAAACCGCUUUCAGCAGGGACGAGGCGAAAGUGGCGGUACCUGCAGAAGAAGCCCCGGCUAACUACGUG